AGAGUUUGAUCCUGGCUCAGAUUGAACGCUGGCGGCAGGCCUAACACAUGCAAGUCGAACGGUAACAGGAAACAGCUUGCUGUUUCGCUGACGAGUGGCGGACGGGUGAGUAAUGUCUGGGAAACUGCCUGAUGGAGGGGGAUAACUACUGGAAACGGUAGCUAAUACCGCAUAACGUCGCAAGACCAAAGAGGGGGACCUUCGGGCCUCUUGCCAUCGGAUGUGCCCAGAUGGGAUUAGCUUGUUGGUGGGGUAACGGCUCACCAAGGCGACGAUCCCUAGCUGGUCUGAGAGGAUGACCAGCCACACUGGAACUGAGACACGGUCCAGACUCCUACGGGAGGCAGCAGUGGGGAAUAUUGCACAAUGGGCGCAAGCCUGAUGCAGCCAUGCCGCGUGUAUGAAGAAGGCCUUCGGGUUGUAAAGUACUUUCAGCGGGGAGGAAGGGAGUAAAGUUAAUACCUUUGCUCAUUGACGUUACCCGCAGAAGAAGCACCGGCUAACUCCGUGCCAGCAGCCGCGGUAAUACGGAGGGUGCAAGCGUUAAUCGGAAUUACUGGGCGUAAAGCGCACGCAGGCGGUUUGUUAAGUCAGAUGUGAAAUCCCCGGGCUCAACCUGGGAACUGCAUCUGAUACUGGCAAGCUUGAGUCUCGUAGAGGGGGGUAGAAUUCCAGGUGUAGCGGUGAAAUGCGUAGAGAUCUGGAGGAAUACCGGUGGCGAAGGCGGCCCCCUGGACGAAGACUGACGCUCAGGUGCGAAAGCGUGGGGAGCAAACAGGAUUAGAUACCCUGGUAGUCCACGCCGUAAACGAUGUCGACUUGGAGGGUUGUGCCCUUGAGGCGUGGGCUUCCGGAGCUAACGCGUUAAGUCGACCGCCUGGGGAGUACGGCCGCAAGGUUAAAACUCAAAUGAAUUGACGGGGGCCCGCACAAGCGGUGGAGCAUGUGGUUUAAUUCGAUGCAACGCGAAGAACCUUACCUGGUCUUGACAUCCACAGAACUUUCCAGAGAUGGAUUGGUGCCUUCGGGAACUGUGAGACAGGUGCUGCAUGGCUGUCGUCAGCUCGUGUUGUGAAAUGUUGGGUUAAGUCCCGCAACGAGCGCAACCCUUAUCCUUUGUUGCCAGCGGUCCGGCCGGGAACUCAAAG
rnacentral:rRNA from 1 species